rnacentral:rRNA from 1 species
AUACGGAGGAUCCGAGCGUUAUCCGGCUUUAUUGGGUUUAAAGGGUGCGCAGGCGGCCAUUUAAGUCAGCGGUUAAAUCGUGGGGCUCAACCCCAUUCUGCCGUUGAUACUGGGUGGCUUGAUUGCGGUCGAGGUUGGCGGAAUUCGUUGUGUAGCGGUGAAAUGCAUAGAUAUGACGAAGAGUACCGAUUGCGUAGGCAGCUGACCAGACCGCAAAUGACGCUCAUGCACGAAAGUGCGGGGAUCGAACAGGAUUAGAUACCCUGGUAGUCCGCACAGUAAACGAUGAAUACUUGUUUUCGGCGAUAUAAUGUCGGAGGCAAAGCGAAAGCGAUAAGUAUUCCACCUGGGGAGUACGCCGGCAACGGUGAAACUUAAAGGAAUUGACGGGG